AGGUUCAGAGGAAAACCGAAUGCAGGUCACUUUGCCUCAGUGUAUGAGAUUAAGCGUGGGGCCUCCCUCUCCUCACUAUCUGGCACUUUUUUGGCUCUGGCUACCAGGCACCUUUGAUCUCCCUCUCAAUGGACUGCAGACUGCUGCCAACAGAGGGAUAAUUCUUGUCACCGUAUGAAUGGCACAGAGGAUCCUUGAUUAAAAGAAGACUUUUGUCGUGUCCUCAGACCCCUGCGUUAUUCCUCAGGAAGUGUGAACAUCUCGGCGGCGCUCUGUCAACAUGCAGCCGGCAGCCCACAAAAGGGGGAGGCCUGGGGUUAAAUCCUGAUGAAUUGAGCUUCCCGAACAAGAGGAGUGUGGAGUGACGUGUUUCAGACGCCCAUACAUCACUCUUUUUCUGUCACACAUUCUCUCUCUCUUUUCCUGAUUUCUUUUUCUCAGUGUUUCUGUCUCUGUGCUUCUCCCCUUUUCCAAUUCACAAGCUGUUUUGAUCAACACAUUUCUUUGUUUUUCUCGUUUUUCUCAUUUUAGUUCUCUUUUGCUUCCCUUUCUUUCUCCUUUUCUGUCUCCUGCACACAUCUUUCAUUUAUUUUUAGGGGUUCAAGCAUGUAGUGCUGAAACCUUAUUGCAAUUGUAAGGAUUUUUAUUAUUUUUCAUCUGCCAUGAAAUUGAUUGCGCAGACCAAACCGUAAGGACUUGAAACUUGGCCAUAUGAUGGGGAGAGGUUGACAAGGUAGGACCCCGAUUGGCCAAUAGGUGGUGCUACAGCAAUCAAAAACGUGAAACUGCUCAUAAUUCCUAUACCGUUUGUCGUAGACUCUAGUGCCUUAUAUCAUUGGAAAUGUAUAUGAUUUUAUUUGCAAAAAGGUGUUUUUUUGCCCAAUCAGAACCAAACCAGUGCAUAAAGAUUUUCUGGAUUCUGAAUAUCAAUAAUUAUCAAAAAAAAACGUUGAAAUUUGAUUCAUGGUCGCUAAGGAGUGUCAAAAUGUUCAAAGUAGGCGGAGACACUUUUACUAAAAUGUCUAUAACUCAAGAAUGAAAUGAGAUAUUUUCACCAAACUUGUGAAUUGGCUCAAUCUUUGGUCAUAGUAAAAAAAAUUGCACGUUUGGCCACUAGGUGAGGCUAUAACACGAAAAAAACUUGAAAACUGCUAUAACUAUGCAACCGUUAGUCUGAUUGACUUGAAAAUUGGCAUGCAAUGUUUUUGUCCAAGGUGCCAAGAUUGUCUAUGAGGAAAUUUGCGUAUCUCAAAAACCAUGGCCGCCAUCGGCCAAUGAAGUUUGAGCACCUAUUAGACAAGGUUAAUCAGAAUGAAACUCAAUCAAGACUCAUGGCCCUAGAGGUCUGUAAGAAUUUUAAAAGAAAUCGGCCACAAGGUGGCGCUAAUGAGUUUUACGCCUCUGUAAUAAUGUGAUGUCUCACGCAUCAACAGAAUAUGCAUAUCAUUUGAUAGAUCUCCUCAUACUUUGCCUCAAGAACUACUGUCAAUCAAAUCGUUCAUCAAAUAUUUGCGAUUAUGUAAAAAACCUACUUUUGUGAACUAGUCCUAGGUUUUUCGCCCGACUGGAACCAAACCAGUGCAGAACAAUUCUCUGGAGGUCAAUAAUAAUCAAAAAACAGUUGAACUUUGGAUAGUUAUAACAGGGUAAAAUGGGCGUGGCCAAGUGCAUGCAAAAGCCUAUACGAAACUCGAAACGUCAUGAAAAUUGGUGAGCACAUGUGACAUAUGAUUCUAAACAAGCAUGCAAACUUUUUUGGAGAUCUGACUUUAGGUGGUGCUAUAAACCCAUAUAUUUCCAAUGGUAAAUUGCCUGUUUUGGCUCUAUGAUUUAAAUGGUUGCAUGCUUGCUAAUAAAACAAUACAUUUUUGUGCAAGUGUUUAAAGUGCUUGAACCCCGAUAAUUGCUGCUUGCAGCUAUAUUCUCUAAUUAUUUUCUCUCAGCCUGUCUGUCAUGUUUAUUAGCCAUCAAUAACUGUAUAUAUUGAGAGUAGAGCCGCUCUCUCUGUCUGUCCUUUACACUCACACACAAAAUAACACUGCAGCAGGUGAUGAGAGCACUUCUCUCUUCUUUCUUGUUUUACGGCCAUCUGUGGCCUCCUGAAAAGACUCCACUGAAUAAACAAGUCUCAUUGC